AUUGAACGCUGGCGGCAGGCUUAACACAUGCAAGUCGAGCGAGCGGCGGACGGGUGAGUAAUGUCUGGGAAACUGCCUGAUGGAGGGGGAUAACUACUGGAAACGGUAGCUAAUACCGCAUACCAUCAGAGCUGCCCAGAUGGGAUUAGCUAGUAGGUGGGGUAAUGGCUCACCUAGGCGACGAUCCAUAGCUGGUCUGAGAGGAUGACCAGCCACACUGGAACUGUGACACGGUCCAGACUCCUACGUGAGGCAGCAGUGGGGAAUCUUGCACAAUGGGCGCAACCCUGAUGCAGCCAUGCCGCGUGUGGGAAGAAGGCCUUCGGGUUGUAAAGCACUUUCAGCGAGGAGGCGUUACCGGCAGAAGAAGCACCGGCUAACUCCGUGCCAGCAGCCGCGGUAAUAC
rnacentral:rRNA from 1 species